rnacentral:lncRNA from 1 species
AUGCUGAGGCUGAUAGAUAAUUUUGAUGAAUUAGAACUUUAUGAUACACAAGGACAGAGUUGUAGGAACUGUCUUUGCUCACAAUUAAGAUGUCAUUGUCCUCUGAAUGAAUUUGAAAACAAACCAGUCUUCGCUUCAUAUCCUCAUAUUUUCAUGUUUCCAUUUGUUGGUAUGAGAAAAGGAAAUGUAACAGAGGUUGUGAUUUAUGUUGGGGUCCAUUCCAAAAUUAUGUAGGUUCUGCAGCAUGCUAAAUUUGCAGCUCAACUCUUUCAUCUAUGUUACUGAGUCUUUGGAGCUCAUUGUUAAGACUGUUGUUUAUGGAUAGUUUGAUGAUUUGCAGCAUCAAUGUUUUAGACAAUUAAGGCAUAGUGAUUAUCAUCCACAGUUUUGACUUUGGUUUUUUCUUUUUAUCCCCUAGAAAUUAAUUUUAGUGAGAAAUUUGGAUUUCUAUUUCAGAAGGUUUGUUCUAGAAAAUACAAAAUCCAAAUAUUAUGAAGUGUGCACCGGAGAAGAUCCUCUUUUUCCUUGGGAUGUAACUAGCUGUUGUUUACGGCUGAGAGGUGUCUGGUUGGAUUUCAACUAGCUGGUUGGAUUUCAACUAGCUGGUUGGAGAACUACAGAGGUAAAAUGGGAGAGCUGUUGGUUCUUCACCGUAUGCUCUGAGACAUAGCUAUGUGGCUUAAACUUUGGUUUCUGUAUAUGAAAAAUAUAGUUCUUGACUGCGAAGCUUUUCUGUAUAUGUCACAGGUUCUUAAAUUCUAUCCAAAGUUCCCUAUUUUCAACUAGAAAGAAAGGUUUCCUUUUAUCUUCUUGAAAUAAUUCAUGUUUUAAAACCCAUUUAUCUAGAUUGACUCUUCAGCAUAUGGUGUCUGGGGAAACAUAUGGUUUACUUUCUCAGUUCGAUAUGCUUGGUACAUAAGUUCUGAAAAUUGUAUGGCCUGAUUGAGCAGGCAUGCUGUAGACUUCUUGCUUGAAUGUGUAUGGUUUGUCCUUUAAAAUUACAAUUGAACAUAAUAUCCUAGAUAUUAGGAUUGCCGCAGGCUUAUGUAGAUCACAGUCUGUGCAACGAUUCAAUCCUGAGUGAGAGAGUGGUUUUGUGAUUUUGAUUGUUUAGGGUGACUUUUGAUUGAGAUGUUCGAUUGAGUUGUCAGGACAAAGGGAAUGUAAAUCUAGAUCAACACUUACAGAAAAUUAAAGUUAUAUAUUGAAGUUUUUGGUUUUUAGAAUUAGAGAGGCUGAGAAAACAGAAAUCAUGCUACAAUGUACCUGGAAUGAAUAUUUUUGCUGCCUCCUUUAAGGAACCUAAAUCCGUUAUGUCUUUGGCCUGUCCAAGUUAGCAUAUAUUAGAUAAACUGUACAUUAGUAUUUAUCAAGCAGUUUAGAAAGUGUCACCUUAUAAAACAGGGCCAAAUCCUCCCUCUCCCAGUUUAUUCGCUACAUUGAAGUUGUUUGUUGCAGCUAA